ensembl:lncRNA
GUAAAGCCAACCAACUGCAUCUUUUCGAACUGUUGCUGCUCAUUCUGCGUCACAUGAGAGCAUAAUAGUCUUGGAGGAAAGCACUAUCUGCUCCCUGCCACAUACAUGAGCUCACAGACCAUCACGAUUCACCAGUGUCACUGUGAUUGAUGGGGGUUGUACAGUAAUGCUGUCCCUUCCACCCAGAGCACACAGGCAAUACUGCUCCCUUGACCCUGGGCUUGGUCAACUAUGGCAUUGGUGGGAUUUGUACUCCCAAUCUCCUGACUCAUUAGCUUAUUUUUGCUCUAUUUUUCCCCUAGUGGAAUAACAGAGACUAGCUCUUUUUUCAUAUUUCAGUUCAAUUAUGGUCCACAAGACCAUUUUAAUUCAGCACAUGCAUUCUAAAUUCACUUGGUGGGCUGGAUUAGAACAUUCAUUGGCCCAGUCACAACCCAAAUGCCGAAUAUCUUUGGCACCGUUACUUUAAAUGUUUAAAAUAGCAUAUCUGUUAGAAAAAAUCUUAGUCAAUAAGUAUGUGAAGUUGCCAUAGAGACAAACCCAUAGUAUACACUAUGGAGAUACCAUCAAAGAUGCAGGGGUUGAGAACUUGUAAGAUAUCUAAUAUUUGAUUAAUGCUACUGUGGUUGGGGAUAAGGUGCAAUGUAUAUGAUAAUAUUUUUAGUGUGUUGUCUGAAAAUUUAACAUAGACACACUUUUUUUUUAUUUGACAUAGUUCCAUUCUUUACAUACAUUUAUUCUUUCUCAUAUAUAAAAAGAAAACCUACAAACAAAAAAAAAUCUAUUUAAUAAUUUGAUUGAUUUUGACUACUACAGAUGUUUAAAUUCUGUCAAAUGGGCAUGUUAGACUGUUGGACAUUAUGCAAAUGAAGCUGCGCUGAGAUACUUAAAACCCUACUCUCAACCCCUCCUCCACACCCCAUUGCCUUUGCAACCCUUUAUCCUCAGCACUGCAAUGACUUCUGGGAAAUGCGUUCACAGAAAAGAAAUUCAAAAAUAUAAAAAUUUGAAGGACUGCAUUUCCCAUGCUGCAUUGCAAACAAAUUUUGUUAAGUUGUGAAUGCUGCUCUUGUUUUCUAACCUCAUGACUAUGUCACUUUCAUACCGCACGGGGACCAAUCAGAAUCAUCAGAGGGACUUAUUUAUGUACAUAUGCAUACAUGUUUAAGCGAAGGGACCUAAUUUUCAGUGGAAAUAGGCCAAAGCUUAAAAAAAAACCUCCAUACUACUUAUGUCAUAAUUUAUGUGAUGUCAGUCUUACCAGAUAAUGGUUUUUAAUUGGCUGGACACCUCAGUGAUUUUCAGAACAAUUGGAGGUGUAACACUUAGAUCUCGUAUUCCUGUCAUGGAAAUUCAGUUCGAUGAUGUAGUGCACAAAGCUAUUUCACACUAUGACGCUGAGCUCCCUUUUGCUUGUCUCGUGCCCCCAUGUUAAUUUCAAACAUGUCACCAAAUUCAGGCCUCACACAAAAAGGCACUGUAUAAAAAAAAAGAAGCAGAAGACAAUCCUGGAGAAGUUGAUUUAAACAGUGUAAAGUUACAUGAGCUGUGUGCCUCAAGCCUUUAAGUGGUAUAGCAACCUUCCAAGUGUUGUAGCCAUAACCACAAAAUUACGAUGAACCAGAAAACUAUUCCUACUGGGGGUGUCAGAUAAGGGGAGCAAUGCAUUUCCACUAGUUAACUGUACCCACUUAUUUUAAUCUAAUGUUUAUGUGUAUUUUAUAUUCUUUUUAUUCUUUUAGAUUAUUUUCAUUACUUUAUAUGUCUGCAAGGUUUAUAAAGUUCUUUAUUUAUGCCUCUAAAGGGAACUGUCACCUUGCAUAGAAACAAAACCAAACUUUAGACAAUUUGGAGAUCCACAGGAGAAUAAUCUGAUAAAGGCUGGACAGGAAUGAUCAUUUGGGUUCACAUCAGAUUACAUCUUAAUUUAAAUUAAGAUGAAAUAUUGUAGCACUUUAUGGCUUGGUUAAUUUAAUAAAUGUCUUAAAUCUGGAAUGAUAACAAAUUAUAACAUUGGGGGAAAAAAAAGUAUAUGUUACUAUAUUCAGGCCAUAUGUUUAGAGUAAUUUAUUUAUUUGAUGAACAUUUAUUUAACACAGAGAAGGCGAAAUGUCCUUAUUUCUGAAAGACACACUUGUUUCGUUGAGACCUGCAUCCAAACAUAACAUGGACUCAGUCCAUUCUUAGAUGCUGUGAGGAACAAUUUGAUGUGGGAAUGAGUUUGAUUUCCCAUGAGUACUUAAAAAGGAGUGUAAGGUAGAGUGGUUCAAACACACGACCAUGCUAGUAUGUCCGCUUGCUCUACAUUAUAGUUUUGUUUUGUUCUGUUUUCUUUAGUAAGAUUUCGUGUGAAAUGACUUUAGUAAUGUGUUUAUGUUCAUAUUUGUUUGAAAACAAGGUCUGCGAGCUGUGUAACUCUUCACACGGAAAAAUGCAAGACACAUAUAAACACAAACAUGCUCACAAACACACAGUGAAAAAUAAAAUGUUGGAGGUAAAAAAGAAAAAGAAAAAAGAAAUACCAUGACUUAUUUUUUUAUAAGUGCAGCAGAGGUCUGCAAUCAAAAUGUGGUAACAACCAUUGCCUGUGUUCUUUUCAUUUGUGGUGCUUUGUAAGAUUAUUGUUAUUGUUAUUACUAUGAUUAUUGUAUUUGAUUUGUUUCUACUCCUGUACUUGCCUGGAAACUCUAGGCUGAAGCCUGGUUUCUCUUUGUAUACCAAUGUGAAGCUUUGUAUUAUUUCUUUCUGGUUCUGACUCAGUGGAAGUGUGUGAUGUUUACAUGUACAGAGGAAUAGAUUCUUUUUUUGUUGUUGAUUUUUUAUUUUUAUUUUUUAUUUAAUUUUUUGUUGUCGUUGUUGUUGUUGUUGUUGAAGACCCACAUAUCCAGCCUCAGUUUGUGACAUUAAGUUGUUUCUUUAAUCUUGUGCAUGGAGGGGCAAUGUUAUGUUAGAAAGUUAUAGAGACUUGGUUAAACCACUGUUAAGGUCCUUGCACACAUAUAAUGCAUAAAGUGAAUCUUUGUGACUGUCAUUUGUCCAUGGUGGUUCAUGUUAUUGUCCCAGAACAUGAGAAGACUUUCAUUGUGCUUUUGUUCCUCAGACAUGAGUCUAAUACAACUGUUAUAGCAGCCUGUUUUCAUUUGCAGGUGUGUGUUACCUCUCUGUUAAACACUGUUCAGUUUUUUGCACUUGAGAAGUGUGUUACUUCCUCAGCAUUAGUUCAGAACGAAUCAGGGUUGGGAUCCAUGUGCAAGGGCCUUGAGAGGCGACAUUUCAGUCACUGAUUGUGGAUGAAGGUGCUGGAUCGGAAAAAAAAAAGCAGAGAGAGAGAGCUUCUUAUCAGCUCAAAGUGCAACACCAAUUGUCCUCCCCAUAAUGUUACACAAUGGAUCUGGUUAAUGGUUAAUGAGAUUCAAAUGAUUUUUUUAUUACUACUUUCACAAAGACUUGAAACAAAUAUUUUACAAGUAAAGCCAGUGAUAUAGGGGAAAGCGUAGCCUCCCUCCAACUGGUCCAGUUAACUAAAGAUUUCCAAUGUGAUUAAAGCCUGCUAUGUUUGAAUUUGCACUUUGACCUUUUGUAGAAGCUUCUCAGUGAUUUUAAAAGCCAUUCCCCUCAUGUUGUUUGCCCAUAUGGGGAACAUAGGAACCUCAGGAACUGUUGAAUCUCUGAGUUUUUUUGUUUUGUUUUGUUUUGUUUUUUAAAUCCAGGCCAAUAUGUCCUGACUGACCAGUCCUCAUGCUCUCUCUCAGCUACCACAUCAUUUAUAUCGAAUUUGCUAUAUAUCCUUUUUAUAUUUAUUAUUGUGAUUUAAAAGUGAAUCUUCUUUUCAGUACAUGUGGCUGAAUAUUUUAAUUCUUUAGAAAAGUGUUGAUAAAUAUAAAUAUAUAUCUGAAUAUAUGUGAAGCAACUAAAAGAUGGAAAACAUGGCAGGUAAUUCCAUUUAUGUUUGUUUCAUGCAAAAACAAAGAAGAUGAAGAAAAAAAAAAGACUCGGGUGGGAGAGUUUCCCACCUUUUACAUAUCACUUUGAUGAGAGACUCAUUAUUGUCUGAAAAAGACUCUUUUUACAUUUUCAAUGUGGUGUCGAUGUUACAGUCUGAAAAACUGUUGGGUUUUCCACCUGCUGCAAAGUUGCUAGUUCCUUUCUUUCAGAGGUGUGUGUCACUGAGUUGCUGAAUAAAACAGUGAGCUGCA